rnacentral:rRNA from 1 species
GAUGAACGCUGGCGGCGUGCCUAAUACAUGCAAGUCGAGCGAACAGACGAGGAGCUUGCUCCUCUGAUGUUAGCGGCGGACGGGUGAGUAACACGUGGAUAACCUACCUAUAAGACUGGGAUAACUUCGGGAAACCGGAGCUAAUACCGGAUAACAUGUUGAACCGCAUGGUUCAACAGUGAAAGACGGUCUUGCUGUCACUUAUAGAUGGAUCCGCGCCGCAUUAGCUAGUUGGUAAGGUAACGGCUUACCAAGGCAACGAUGCGUAGCCGACCUGAGAGAGUGAUCGGCCACACUGGAACUGAGACACGGUCCAGACUCCUACGGGAGGCAGCAGUAGGGAAUCUUCCGCAAUGGGCGAAAGCCUGACGGAGCAACGCCGCGUGAGUGAAGAAGGUCUUCGGAUCGUAAAACUCUGUUAUUAGGGAAGAACAAAUGUGUAAGUAACUAUGCACGUCUUGACGGUACCUAAUCAGAAAGCCACGGCUAACUACGUG